GACGAACGCGGCGGCGUGCCUAAUACAUGCAAGUCGAACGAGAGCGACCGGUGCUUGCACUGGUCAAUCUAGUGGCGAACGGGUGAGUAACACGUGGGUAACCUGCCCAUCAGAGGGGGAUAACAUCCGGAAACGGAUGCUAAAACCGCAUAGGUCUUCGAGCCGCAUGGCUUGAAGAGGAAAAGAGGCGCAAGCUUCUGCUGAUGGAUGGACCCGCGGUGCAUUAGCUAGUUGGUGAGGUAACGGCUCACCAAGGCCGUGAUGCAUAGCCGACCUGAGAGGGUGAUCGGCCACAUUGGGACUGAGACACGGCCCAAACUCCUACGGGAGGCAGCAGUAGGGAAUCUUCCGCAAUGGACGCAAGUCUGACGGAGCAACGCCGCGUGAGUGAAGAAGGUUUUCGGAUCGUAAAACUCUGUUGUUAGAGAAGAAUAAGUGCUAGAGUAAACUGUUAGCGCC
rnacentral:rRNA from 1 species